GAUACUUUCUCUUGUCUUAACCGUCUCAGAAGUGGAAAGAUGAGUGGAGUAGGAGGGAAUGCGUAACCUAGGUUGAAUUGCCAAUCGCUCGAUAGGGCAUCUCUUCCUAUAGCCAGAGGAUCGAUAUUUUUUGAGAAGAAGUCUCUUACUUUCCUGUUCUUGUUUGUUGCCAUCAGGUCUAUUUGUGGCAUGCCCCAUAUUUGUGUUAUCUUCUCGAAUAUCUUGUCUGACAAGCUCCAUUCUCCUGGGUCUAUUUCCACUCUGCUCAGGAAAUCUGCUAUGGAAUUCUGGUUCCCAGGAAGAUGUACAGCUGAUAUACCCGCUAGAUGUGUUUGUGUGAAGGCCAUCAGGGGUUUCAUUAUUGACAUCAUCUUUUGACUCCUGGUUCCUCCCUGAUGAUUUAUGUAGGCUACUACGGUGGCGUUG